rnacentral:rRNA from 1 species
GGAAGGGGUGUCUUUAUUAAAUAAAAAACCAAUGCCCUUCGGGGCUUUUUGGUGAUUCUGGAUAACUUUUCUGAUCGCAUAGCCUUGCCCUGGCCACGGUUCAUUCAAAUUUCUGCCCUAUCAACUUUCGAUGGUAAGGUCUUGGCUUACCUUGGUUUCAACGGGUAACGGGGAAUUAGGGUUCGAUUCCGGAGAGGGAGCCUGACAAACGGCUACCACAUCCAAGGAAGGCCGCAGGCGCCCAAAUUACCCAAUCCCGACACGGGGAGGUAGUGACAAUAAAUACUGAUACAGGGCUCUUUUGGGUCUUGUAAUUGGAAUGAGUACAAUUUAAACCUCUUAACGAGGAACAUUUGGAGGGCAAGUCUGGUGCCAGCAGCCGCGGUAAUUCCCGCUCCUAUAGCGUAUAUUAAAGUUGUUGCAGUUAAAAAGCUCGUAUUUGAAACUUGCGCCUGGUUGGCGGGUCCGCCUCACCGCGUGCACUCGUCCGGCCGGGCCUUCCUUCUGAAGAACCUCAUGCCCUUCACUGGGUGUGCUGGGGAAUCACGACUUUUAC